rnacentral:rRNA from 1 species
UGGUCAAGUGAAUAAGAGCAUAAGGCGGAUGCCUUGGCACUGGGAGCCGACGAAGGACGUGACAAGCUGCGAUAAGCUACGGGGAGGAGCACAUAUCCGUCAAUCCGUAGAUUUCCGAAUGGGGGAACCCACAUACGGUAAUGCGUAUGUAUCAUUAAGUGAAUACAUAGCUUAAUGAAGGGAACGGGGUUAAC